rnacentral:rRNA from 1 species
UACGGGGGGGGCAAGCGUUGUUCGGAAUUACUGGGCGUAAAGGGCUCGUAGGUGGCCAACUAAGUCAGACGUGAAAUCCCCAGGCUCAACUUGGGAACUGCGUCUGAUACUGGAUGGCUUGAAUUCGGGAGAGGGAUGCAGAAUUCCAGGUGUAGCGGUGAAAUGCGUAGAUAUCUGGAGGAACACCGGUGGCGAAGGCGGGUCUCUGGGCAAUUCCUGACGCUGAGGCGCGAAAGCGUGGGGAGCAAACGGG